CCACCUCAGCAAAUCCUCUCUCAAAUUUCCACGUCAUUCCCUACUAUUGCUUCACGCUGAUUUUGUGCUACGGCAGUUGCAAAGUUUUGUAACGUUAAACCUCUCAUCAUGCUGCAGACCUUCCUUCAAUCGAUCCUCUUCCACUUCCAAAACCGUUCCCAAAUCAUUUCUCCAUUUCAAAGGCGGUUAUGAAAUUGAAGCAUCCACAGUCCAUUUUCUCUCUCUUUCUCACUCGGGUCUCUCUACAAUCAUUGUCAAACCUAACGGCGCCUCAGAUUAUUUUCUUUCGUCAUCUCUUGGCUGUUGGCAAUUUUGAGGUAAUUGUCGUAGUAAAGCCGCUGCAAUGUUUGAUAGCGAUGAUGAUUGUAGCGUGACUUCGUCGCCGACUGCUCGAUCUGAUCUUAUGUCUGUUUCUGGUACCAAAGAUGUUCAAUUUGAUCAAGAGUCUGUGCUAUGCGAGAUUUUUGAAGAAUUUGUUACUGCUUUGGAUGAAUCAGUUGCUAGAAGUACCUCUAUAUGUGUAAUGGGUUUUCCUGAAUGCAAAAACAAUUAGGAUUUCUACUCAUGGUGAGGAGUUUACAUAUAUUCUAUUCUUUUGAAUUUCAUUUUGGACUUUGAUAUACCUUUCACUCUUCAAAAUUAGGAUUUCUACUCAUGGGGGAACAACCUCUCCCGUUCGAGGAUCAUGUAAUUCCGGCUGCUGACGAUGACGAGGACUACACUGGCGGCAAUGAUGCCAUGAAUGAAUUGGAGUGUUCUGAUUCCAAAUUGUUGAUAUUUUUUAUCGAGUCAAAUGACAAUGGGAUCUAUGAUGAUGUUUUGCUUGGCAUAAUUAGGCAAAUGUUAUUCACUAGCUAUUGAAUGGUUUCCUUCAUUCAAAACAUGAACUCAAAGAUUGGGAUAUCUAAAUAGUGGUCUUCCACACAGACAGGGGUAAGCGGGUUGCAUAUGAUUGGAGUGUCGUGUUCAUAUCUAAGGUAUUAGGAGGACUCAUGGCUGAAAGUGCAAAGAAAUUGCAGGUAUUUUCCUAAUAAAAAGAAUGGUUAAUCUAUCAUAUAAGGAGUAACAAACGCAGCUCGAUCAUUGAUAGGGCUACAGGAUCAACGAAUUUGACUGACACGGAACCAUAUGUUAUGAAGCUUAGCGAAGAUCAAAUGGGCCAGCUUCUCUCUGCCUUUUGGAUUCAGGCCAACCGAAUAUUGAAGCUAUAGCUCAUUCAUUUAUAUUGACACUAAUUAUUUUGCGCAUGAAGGCUUGCAGCAGAGUUUGAUGGUUUAUUGUGAGGGUGAGUUGGUCGGGUUGCAACAGAAUAAACCAGCUUCAACCCAACACACGCAUCACGACAUAUGCCAUCAGUUUUCUGUUGGAAGAUUCUUUCCCAUACCAAGACUUAGCUUCAUCUCAAAAAGCCAUGUUCAUCAUGAGAAAUUUUUAUGCACAAAAUAUGAGAAAUCAAAGGUUACCACAGAUAAAAUUGAACUUCAAGCUACUUCCGAGGGUGUGCCCAUCACGAUUGUUUAUCCUGGGGUUAUUUAUGGACCUGGCAAAGUCACUGCAGGAAACGUUGUUACGAAUAUGGUAAAAAAUCACGGCUUAUCAAUUUUCCUCUUGAAAGCUGGAAUGUUGGGAACCCUUCAAGCACUUUGGGAGGUCUUCCCUUUAUUUACAAACACUGGAUGGGGCGAGAACUCAACUAUCGGUUUUCUGGAUAAACAUAUGAGAGCCUCUUUUGAAACAAGCCCUCAGCCUUGGGUUACGAAUAUCAGCGCUGUUGACAUUCACUCUGGGAAUUAGGUACGUAUUGUUCGAAUUAGUAUCGACAUGUUAAUUUGUGAACGGGAACACACAUGACUAUAUUUUCCUUCUGCUUUUCUGUUGUGCUUUACUGGUGCAGUGUUGUUGUUAGCUAUCGUUCAGUUAGCUUGAAAUAUUCGGCUCGGUUUAGUCUUGAGCUGCAGGUUUGCCUUUAGGAUUGAAUUAGUGUUCAUGUUUGAUUGUGAGUGUUCAUAUUUGAUUGUGAGUAUGGUUGAUGCAGGGCUGAAAUGGGUGUGUUUGAGUGUAGGAAUUGAUUUUUCUUUGAUGAAUAUGUAAUGGUUUAUGGUAUAUUUGUAUGACUUCUUUUUGCAGUUGUUGUUACUGCUGAAAAUGAAGCAUUGCAACAAGUUUUGUAUUGCUUGAAGCAUAGAAAAUAUUUAAGAAAAACUGGCUUAUUUCAAAAACAAUAAUAAGAGCAACAAUUGUUUGAAGUAUAAUGAAGCAUUGUUGGGUUGAAGCGCAAACAGAUAUCGAUAGUUCUAUUCAUUUGUCUCUGUUAUUGCAUUUUAAUACAUUUAUGUGGCUUCUAUAGUAGUUAUUAUAAGGGGUUUAUUUUUUAAUUGGUUUUGGAUAUGAGAAUUUGGGAAGCUAGGAUUCUUUGGUAAGGUUAUUGUUAGAGGUAAUUUUACUAUUGAAGAUUUCAUUGGUAACAUGUUUAUUGGAUAGGUCAUUGGAUAUUGAUCUUUAAAUCAUAAGUUAUAGGAAUAAUAGGAAAAUAAGAUCUACUUUUUCUUCUAAAGGACGUUGAUUCAUAAAAGUAUUUUUGUAAUGUUGCCCACACUGUCUACCAUUAAAUAAUUUGUUAUAUUGAGAAAUUCAAAUUUAAUUUGAAUAUGAAUACAAAUUAAGUGGAAUAUAUCAUGGGACUCUGGGGUAUUUGUGUGAGGAAGUAUCUCACGAGGUUGUUGAACAAGACGAAGAAAAUAAAAUUCUUACUGCUAUAGUUCAAGGUAUGAAUUCAUCUGAAAAGAACAAUGAUGUCAGACUUGCUGCUACUAGGGCAUUAUAUAAUGCUCUUGGAUAUGCACAGGCUAAUUUUAGCAAUGAUAUGGAGCGUGAAUAUAUCAUGAGAGUUGUUUGUGAGACAACUAUGUCUCCUGAAGUGAAAAUACGACAGGCAGCUUUUGAAUGUUUGGUCUCAAUUGCUGCAGCUUUUGAAUGUUUGGUCUCAAUUGUUGCCAUGUAUUAUGUAAAAUUGGCUCCUUUGAGUAAGCUACAAUAUUUAAUACAUGUAUCACAUUCUCUGU